rnacentral:rRNA from 1 species
CCUUUGAUGACGACUGGCGCACGGGUGAGUAACGCGUAUCCAACCUUCCCAUAACUACGGGAUAACCCGUUGAAAGACGGCCUAAUACCGUAUGAUAUCGUUUGCUGACAUCAAAUAACGAUUAAAGGUUUAGCGGUUAUGGAUGGGGAUGCGUCUGAUUAGCUUGUUGGCGGGGUAACGGCCCACCAAGGCAACGAUCAGUAGGGGUUCUGAGAGGAAGGUCCCCCACAUUGGAACUGAGACACGGUCCAAACUCCUACGGGAGGCAGCAGAU